rfam:Schistosoma mansoni strain Puerto Rico chromosome 2, complete genome
GCAUUUCCGAGGAGUCCCAUAAUAGGACGAAACGGCCGUCCAAUGC